GGCAUUUGAAAUUGACAAAGUACACACGGAUGGGAUCCAUCAAAUGCUUGAUAUUGCUGUUUGUGGAUAUAAUACCCAGAACUGCUGAAGCCAUCCCACUAAAUGCUCACUGCACAAGCAGAGUUCAACAAGGAAUCACAGGAAACAUAGCCUGGAUUAAGUCAACCUUGAAGUCUACAUUUUCAGUAAGAAAACCAUUCUACCGUCUUCUAAUUUCCAUGUCAUCACUGAUGAAUCUACCAGCAAGUUCAUUAAUGAAUAUUUCAAGUUUUAAACAUUGGCAACCUGCUGUAUUGGAAAGGAGAUAAGAACCAAUGUCAGGAGACUUGGGUUUCUCUCCUGCUUCUGCCACUAAUUGAGGUAUCUGGCCUCGGGGAAAGUAUAGAACCAUCCUGGAGCUGCUUUCCAUCAUUUGUAGAGUGAGAAGAAUGAACCCAGACAUCUAUUCUAAAGAUUUUCCACCCUUUUCUGAUUUUUUUUGGUUGUAUCUCAUAUUCACAAAUAAAAUAGUUAAGAUUAGAUACCA
rnacentral:lncRNA from 1 species